ensembl:lncRNA
GUCCACUUGAAUGUCCUGAGUCUGCUGAGUGGCUGUCCUGGCGGGCUGAAUGCAGGUGAUGUUGCAUAGCCAGAGCCGUAGGGACACAGGAAAUGAAGGAUCACCAUCUCGGUUUAAGAUGAAGAUAUGGAGCUCAAGGAUGGGGAGCCCUCUCUGCUUCUGGGACGUUUCCUCUAGACUCUGAUGUCGGUUGGGUCAUCGCGGGGUCUUGAUUCCUGGGACUUCCCUGAUGAGCCACCUAGGAACCACUAUGUUGGAGACCAGGAUGUGGUGAAGACACACAGGACUCAGCUUGCAGAUAAACUCCUCAAAGGUCCUUGUGCAUUGGGAAGAGUGGCUACUUCUGUCUCUCUAGUUGCUAUGCUGUGCGUCCCUGUCUUCAGAGGACCAGAGACCCAUUCUGGCUAUAAGCAGAAGCAACUAGUGCACUUUCCGGGCUCGGCUGUCAAUGCCACACUCCCCAGGACUCCAGGAGCCGGUUUGACGAUUCGGCAUGUAAUGGCACUUGCUAAUACG